UACGUAGGGUGCGAGCGUUAAUCGGAAUUACUGGGCGUAAAGGGUGCGCAGGCGGCCGAGCAAGUCGAGUGUGAAAGCCCCGGGCUUAACUUGGGAAUUGCGCUCGAAACUACUUUGCUGGAGUGUGGCAGAGGAAGGUGGAAUUCCACGUGUAGCGGUGAAAUGCGUAGAGAUGUGGAGGAACACCAAUGGCGAAGGCAGCCUUCUGGGCCAACACUGACGCUCAUGCACGAAAGCGUGGGGAGCAAACAGG
rnacentral:rRNA from 1 species